UACGUAGGGGGCAAGCGUUGUCCGGAUUUAUUGGGCGUAAAGAGCGUGUAGGCGGCCAGGUAGGUCAGCUGUGAAAACUCGAGGCUCAACCUCGAGACGCCGGUUGAAACCAUCUGGCUAGAGUCCGGAAGAGGAGAGUGGAAUUCCUGGUGUAGCGGUGAAAUGACGCAGAUAUCAGGAAGAACACCCGUGGCUAAGGCGGCUCUCUAGUACGGUACUGACGCUGAGACGCGAAAGCGUGGGGAGCGAACAGG
rnacentral:rRNA from 1 species